AGUAAAUUUAGAUCAAGCGUUUUAGGGCUUGCGGUGGAUUCCUUGGCGUCAAUGGGCGAAGAAGGGCGUAGCAAGUUGCGAUAAGCUUCGGGGAGCCGCUAACAGGCGUUGAUCCGGAGAUUCCCGAAUAGGGCAACCUUAUGUGGGUUAUACCGCAUAAUCUCUGACUGAAUUCAUAGGUCAGAGAAGCUCACCAGGGGAAUUGAAACAUCUAAGUACCCUGAGGAAAAGAAAACAAAAGUGAUUCCCCUAGUAGCGGCGAGCGAACGGGGAACAGCCUAAACCAGAAUGUAUGUCAAGCUCGUGGGCGUUGUACAUCUGGGGUUGUGGGUUUUAACUGGGCGGAGCUACGAAUCCGCCGGAGUGUUACAAAAGCAUGUUAUAGCUUAAGAAACUGGAAAGUUUUGCCAUAGAGGGUGAUAGCCCCGUGAGCGAAAUGGCAUGUUCACUCUGAGUUAGAUACCCGAGUACCGCGGGACACGAGAAAUCUUGUGGGAAUCUGGGAGGACCACCUCCUAAGGCUAAAUACCAUUGACGACCGAUAGUGAACUAGUACCGUGAGGGAAAGGUGAAAAGCACCCCGGUGAGGGGAGUGAAAUAGAAUAUGAAACCGUAAGCCUACAAUCAGUGGGAGCACUAUAUUUCCGAUUCGUCGGAGACACGUGUGACCGCGUACCUUUUGCAUAAUGAGCCGCCGAGUUACUUUAUUUAGCAAGGUUAAGCCGUUAGGUGUAGCCAUAGCGAAAGCGAGUCUUAAUAGGGCGAUAGUUAAGUGAAGUAGACCCGAAACCGGGUGAUCUAUCCAUGACCAGGGUGAAGCGAAGGUAACACUUCGUGAAGGCCCGAACCAGUAGUCGUUGAAAAGACUUUGGAUGAGUUGUGGAUAGGGGUGAAAGGCCAAUCAAACUCGGUAAUAGCUGGUUCUCCUCGAAAUAGUUUUAGGCCUAGCCUUGUAUAAGAUAGUUCACGGAGGUAGGGCUCUGGAUGGGCUAGGGGCCUCACCAGGUUACCAAACCCAACCAAUCUUCGAAUUCCGUGGAUGGUAAUACAGGAGUCAGACUAUGGGUGAUAAGGUCCAUGGUCGAAAGGGAAAGAGCCCAGAUCACCAGCUAAGGUCCCUA
rnacentral:rRNA from 1 species